rnacentral:misc_RNA from 1 species
AUUUUACUGGUUUCUAUAUGGAGUUAAAUAAAAUAUGAAUUUCAAGUCCUUUAUAACUGAUGGGCACUUCUGGUAGUGCAAGUAGUAGGACCUUUCCGGCUGAUAAUGAAAAUGAACAUUUGACAAAAACACACUAACCUUAUUAAACUAUAAAUCUGGUUGUUGAGAUUUUCUCCGUAGGUUUGCUGUCGACAUUCACCACUUAUUGCGGUAAUUAUCUGGAAACUAUUUGUGAUGUGGACAGCCUUCAAACUUAGAGUCAGUGCAGUGUCACAGUCUAAACAGGCUCCAGUUCUUAGGCCUUACUUUGCUCACCUCUGGUCCAAAUUCUUCAGGUUCUAGUGGUGCUAUGUUCACAAUGCUUUCUUGCACUGGUGGAGGUUCUGAUGAGGUAGCUUGGUUGCAACCAACAAUCUUUUGGCAUGUCUCAAUCAGGCAGUGCCUGCAAGUAGGGCAGGAUGAGUGUGAGCUGAGCCACUUGUCGAUGCACCGGACAUGGAAUCCAUGGUUGCACUUAGGCAGAAGGCGUACACGUUCACCAGGUGUGAACUCUGAAAGACAUAUCACACACUCUGUGUCCAGACCAGGCAGCUUCAAGUCAGUUGAGUAGUUUACUGUUGGGAACGUCUUUAAUGCUUUUCUCUUGACUCCUGUAUUGGCUAAUCGAGUUGAGGAAUCGCCAGCAGACUGGGAAGCUACCAAAUUGGAGCACCUCAAUGCACACCUAAUGAUGGAAUUCAAUCCAAGUGAGCAAAUCAGGGCACAUAAGAGGACUGAGAGGACCAUAACAACAUUUGCGUCGAAAUUGUUAUCUCUGGUGUAAGUUUCUGAUGGAUUGUGACCAUUUCCAGGAGCUGCAGGAGCUGCCGCAGUUGGUGAUUGAUAAAGGGGGGUGUGUAGUAGCAAUCUUCUUGAGUAAAAGUCCCCUACAAAAUCUUGAAAUAGUUGAGCGGUUGAAGUAGAGGUUGACAUGCUUAGAGAGUUUACAGAGGCUGGGAAUUUAAGAUGGGUACUUCUUGGAAGUGAUUACUUAUAUAGGAAAAGGUCAAGGGUUGAAUUUGCUACUGGAGCUUUGAUAUAAUAUUUACAAUUAUUACAUUAAGAAUGGCACAGUUGAGAAUAUUUUGGGAGUUUUAGCUCAGAACACGGUGUUUUAUCUUUUUAAUUUAUGCAGGCCUAGAAUCUUAUGGAUUCUCCACUGAACCUUAUGUAGUUUAAUGGACUCUCUAAUCAAAGAGAGGCCAUCCCACUUUCUG